UCCCUGCCUGCAGCACCAGGAGGAGCCUGCUGAGCCAGCACAGGGGGAGGACAAGUGAGCUGCUUUGGGAUGAUGCCCCGGGUGCUUCUGCCUGGCCCUGGAAUAAGGUGCAGCUGACAAGCAAGGCUGGGGGAGCUGUGGAAGAGAAGUGCCCAGAGGAUAACAAGGAAUACAGUGCAGUCAGCUGGAGCUUUCAUUGGAAGCCACACACCAACCCAGGGCUGAAAGGAUGAAGGGAACGUAAUUCAGCACAUUCCUUUGGAGCAGCAGUUGUUCUCCUGGCUGACAGAGGGACCAGAAAAAAUGGUGAUCGACAUAUAAUCUCCACAGCAAUGGCUGAG